rnacentral:rRNA from 1 species
UUAAGCUACUAAGAGCACAGGGUGAAUGCCUUGGCACCAAGAGCCGAUGAAGGACGUGAUAAGCUGCGAAAAGCUGUGAGGAGGAGCAAAUAUCCAUUAUAUUCACAGAUAUCCGAAUGAGGAAACUCUAGUUAGGAAAAAAGCUAACUAAUCCAUACAUGAGUAAAGUAGUGUAUGUGAGGGGAACGUAGGGAACUGAAACAUCUAAGUACCUACAGGAAAAGAAAGAAAACUCGAUUCCUUGAGUAGUGGCGAGCGAAAGAGGAAGAGCCUAAACCAAGAGAAGUAAUUUUCUUGGGGUUAUGGACUACAUAAUUGAUUCAAUAGAUUUAGCAGAACUGUUUGGAAAAGCAGACCAAAGAUAGUGAAAGUCUAGUAAGCGAAAAAUCGAAAGACAUGGUAGUAUCCAGAGUAGUGCGAGACACGGGAAAUCUCGUAUGAAAAAGUGGGGACCACCCCAUAAGGCUAAAUACUACUUGGUGACCGAUAGUGGAACAGUACCGUGAGGGAAAGGUGAAAAGAACCCCGGGAGGGGAGUGAAAGAGAACCUGAAACCCUGUGUUUACAAGCAGACAAAGCACGUUAAGGUGCGAUGUCGUACUUUUUGUAGAACGGUCCGGCGAGUUAUUUUAUAUGGCAAGGUUAAGUACUAUUAAGGUACGAAGCCGAAGCGAGAGCGAGUCUGAAAAGGGCGAGUAAGUCAUAUGAAAUAGACCCGAAACCGAGUGACCUAUCCAUGGUCAGGAUGAAGCUUGAGUAAAAUCAAGUGGAGGUCCGAACCCAUAAGCGUUAAAAAGCUUCGGGAUGAACUGUGGAUAGCGGAGAAAUUCCAAUCGAACUCGGAGAUAGCUGGUUCUCCUCGAAAUAGUUUUAGGACUAGCCUUGUUUAGUAGUAUGUGGGGGUAGAGCACUGAAUGAGCUAGGGGCCAAACCAGGUUACUGAACUCUAUCAAACUCCGAAUACCAUGUACGUAAGAACAGGAGUCAGACUGCGGGAGCUAAGUUCCGUGGUCAAAAGGGAAAGAGCCCAGAUCGUCAAUUAAGGUCCCAAAGAUAUAGUUAAGUGGAAAACGAUGUGAUUUUGCGUAAACAACCAGGAUGUUGGCUUAGAAGCAGCCAUUCAUUUAAAGAGUGCGUAAUAGCUCACUGGUCGAGUGGAGUUGCGCGGAAAAUUACCGGGGCUAAACUAUACACCGAAAUUGCGGAUUCAUGAGUAAUCAUGAGUGGUAGAGGAGCAUUCUAUAGUAGGACGAAGGUAGAUCGAAAGGACUGCUGGACGAGAUAGAAGAGAGAAUGCCGGAAUAAGUAGCGAAAGCAUGGUGAGAAUCCAUGCCAUCGAAAGUCUAAGGUUUCCUGGGGAAGGUUCGUCCGCCCAGGGUAAGUCGGGACCUAAGGAGAGGCCGAAAGGCGUAUCUGAUGGACAGCAGGUAGAAAUUCCUGCACCACCGAUAUACUUAAAAAAUGCAAGGGACACAGUAGUGGAAGGAAAGCGAGGAAGAGGAAAGACUCGUAUCGAAAGAUAUAGUGAAAAAAUAAGUAACGAAUUUCCAAGAAGCACACUGGCGAGAAAAGCUUGUAGGAAUUGUAUAAAGGUGCCCGUACCGCAAACCGACACAGGUAGAUGAGGAGAGGAUCCUAAGAUGAGCGAGAGAAGCAUUGUUAAGGAACUCGGCAAAUUGACCCCGUAACUUAGGGAGAAGGGGUGCCAAAGUAAAAUUUGGUCGCAGAGAAGAGGCCCAAGCAACUGUUUAACAAAAACACAGGUUUCUGCUAAAUCGAAAGAUGAAGUAUAGGAGCUGACGCCUGCCCAGUGCUGGAAGGUUAAGGGGAAGAGUUAGAUGUAAGUCGAAGCUUAGAACCAAAGCCCCAGUGAACGGCGGCCGUAACUAUAACGGUCCUAAGGUAGCGAAAUUCCUUGUCAGGUAAGUUCUGACCCGC